UCCCCAGUGGCUCAGAUGGUAAAGCAUCUGCCUACGAUGCAGGAGACCCAGGUUCGAUCCCUGGGUCAGGAA
rnacentral:tRNA from 1 species